rnacentral:lncRNA from 1 species
GCGUCAGGGCCGCCGGCCUCUCCUUGGCUGUUGGAGAGCCAUAGAAUACCUGUUUCAGAGCUGAAGGGGACCUGAGCCCAUGAUAAUCCAUUACCUCGUGAGAAAGCGGAAAAACUGACUUCAGCUUGCCCAGAUGGCGCAGAGAAUGGGUUUCCCGUAACCCCGCCUGUGUCUUUCCUUCAGCCUCGUCCCAAAUGCCGUGGGAGGGAAGGCACUCUCUGUCAAGCUGCUGUCACCUUACCUGAAGUAAGGAGUCCACGCCUGCAUGUCCGAGGAAAACAGUUUUCUCAAACACAUUAGUUGAAAAACUGAAGACGCUGCCUAAAAUACAAGCUGAGUUAGAGACAGCCCUUGUAAGACUAGGCCUUCAGGGGAGUCUAGAACUAUGCCACUGACUCUCCUGGUCUCCAGUUUUUCAACUUCAAAUCUUGGGAUUUAGUCUCGAUGAUCAUAAAAAGAAAUGGAAACUAAGUAACAUGAAUUAACAUAGUCCAGGGUCACAAAGCAACAUGGAACAAGAACCUGGAUCUGAAUUCAGAGGCAGAAUGCUGGGCCUGAGAAUCAGGAGAGUCAAUGGUAUUAGUGCUUGUCCGGAAGCCAUCAUGCUUCAAAACCAAGAAGAGCUGAUUUUCCAGUUGGAGUCUAAAG